CGGCCCCGGUAAGCUGUAAGCUGCCCCUUGGCAAUCCCCCUUAACCAGGGUUGAUGGUGACAACAAAGCAGCGAGUGGCAAAUCAGUUACGUCUCACUCUUGUAAGCUGCCCCUUGGCAAUUCCCCUUAACCAGGGUUGAUGGUGACAACUCUUUUUAUGGACGUAACUGGUGAAUAAAAUGGGAACAAAAGUUAUAUGUGCAGUUCAAUUGAAAAAUAUAAAACCAAU